rnacentral:rRNA from 1 species
UACGUAGGGGGCAAGCGUUAUCCGGAAUCAUUGGGCGUAAAGCGCGUGUAGGCGGUUCCGUAAGUCCGCUCUGAAAGCCCAGGGCUCAACCCUGGGAGGCGGGUGGAUACUACGGAACUGGAGUACGGAAGAGGAGAUUGGAAUUCCUGGUGUAGCGGUGAAAUGCGCAGAUAUCAGGAGGAACACCGAUGGCGAAGGCAGGUCUCUGGGCCACUACUGACGCUGGAGAAGCGAAAGCAUGGGGAGCGAACAGG